rnacentral:rRNA from 1 species
ACGAAGCACUUUAUUCAGAUUCUUUCGGGAUGAUGAAUUUAGUGACUUAGUGGCGGACGGGUGAGUAACGCGUGGGUAACCUGCCUUACACAGGGGGAUAACAGUUAGAAAUGACUGCUAAUACCGCAUAAAACAGCAGCACCGCAUGGUGCAACUGUCAAAGAUUUAUCGGUGUAAGAUGGACCCGCGUCUGAUUAGCCAGUUGGUGGGGUAACGGCCUACCAAGGCGACGAUCAGUAGCCGACCUGAGAGGGUGACCGGCCACAUUGGGACUGAGACACGGCCCAAACUCCUACGGGAGGCAGCAGUGGGGAAUAUUGGACAAUGGGCGAAAGCCUGAUCCAGCGACGCCGCGUGAGCGAUGAAGUAUUUCGGUAUGUAAAGCUCUAUCAGCAGGGAAGAAAAUGACGGUACCUGACUAAGAAGCCCCGGCUAACUACGUGCCAGCAGCCGCGGUAAUACGUAGGGGGCAAGCGUUAUCCGGAUUUACUGGGUGUAAAGGGAGCGUAGACGGAAGUGCAAGUCAGAAGUGAAAGCCCGGGGCUUAACCCCGGGACUGCUUUUGAAACUGUGCAUCUAGAGUGCAGGAGAGGUAAGCGGAAUUCCUAGUGUAGCGGUGAAAUGCGUAGAUAUUAG